AUAAAUAAAUUUAUAAUUAAAAUUUAAUUCUAAAAUUCUAUCCUUGGAUACAAAUCACGAAAACAUAUAUUCUUCCUCAAAUAUUUCGUUGAGAGAGAAAAGAUUAAAUCCUUUUAAGAAAUAAAGUUUUUGUUCGGAAUAUGAAUCAAAUCGAGGACCCCUUAACUCUUAAGGGAUUAAUAGAA